GUGAGGAAUAUUGGUCAAUGGGCGGAAGCCUGAACCAGCCAUGCCGCGUGAAGGACUAAGGCCCUACGGGUCGUAAACUUCUUUAGACGCAGAGCAAUAAGGUCCACGUGUGGACCGAUGAGAGUAUGCGUAGAAUAAGCAUCGGCUAACUCCGUGCCAGCAGCCGCGGUAAUACGGGGGAUGCGAGCGUUAUCCGGAUUCAUUGGGUUUAAAGGGUGCGUAGGCGGCCGAGUAAGUCAGCGGUGAAAGACCGGGGCUCAACCCUGGAAGUGCCGUUGAUACUGUUUGGCUGGAAUGAUCCCGCCGCGGGAGGAAUGAGUGGUGUAGCGGUGAAAUGCAUAGAUAUCACUCAGAACACCGAUUGCGAAGGCAUCUCGCGAGGGGUCAAUUGACGCUGAGGCACGAAAGCGUGGGGAUCGAACAGGAUUAGAAACCCUAGUAGUCC
rnacentral:rRNA from 1 species